CCUACGGGGGACAGCAGUGAGGAAUAUUGGUCAAUGGACGCAAGUCUGAACCAGCCAUGCCGCGUGCAGGAAGACGGCUCUAUGGGUUGUAAACUGCUUUUGUACGAGGGUAAACUCAGAUACGCGUGUCUGUCUGCACGUAUCGUACGAAUAAGGAUCGGCUAACUCCGUGCCAGCAGCCGCGGUAAUCCGGAGGAUUCAAGCGUUAUCCGGAUUUAUUGGGUUUAAGGGGUGCGUAGGCGGUCGGAUAAGUUAGAGGUGAAAUCCCGAGGCUAAACUUCGGAAUUGCCUGUGAUACUGUUCGGCUAGAGAGUAGUUGCGGUAGGCGGAAUGUAUGGUGUAGCGAUGAAAUGCUUAGAGAUCAUACAGAACACCGAUUGCGAAGGCAGCUUACCAAGCUACGUCUGACGUUGAGGCACGAAAGCGUGGGGAGCAAACAGGAUUAGAUACCCCAGUAGUC
rnacentral:rRNA from 1 species